AAAUUGAAGAGUUUGAUCAUGGCUCAGAUUGAACGCUGGCGGCAGGCCUAACACAUGCAAGUCGAACGGUAACAGGAAGCAGCUUGCUGCUUCGCUGACGAGUGGCGGACGGGUGAGUAAUGUCUGGGAAACUGCCUGAUGGAGGGGGAUAACUACUGGAAACGGUGGCUAAUACCGCAUAACGUCGCAAGACCAAAGAGGGGGGACCUUCGGGCCUCUUGCCAUCAGAUGUGCCCAGAUGGGAUUAGCUUGUUGGUGAGGUAACGGCUCACCAAGGCGACGAUCCCUAGCUGGUCUGAGAGGAUGAGACCAGCCACACUGGAACUGAGACACGGUCCAGACUCCUACGGGAGGCAGCAGUGGGGAAUAUUGCACAAUGGGCGCAAGCCUGAUGCAGCCAUGCCGCGUGUAUGAAGAAGGCCUUCGGGUUGUAAAGUACUUUCAGCGGGGAGGAAGGUGUUGUGGUUAAUAACCGCAGCAAUUGACGUUACCCGCAGAAGAAGCACCGGCUAACUCCGUGCCAGCAGCCGCGGUAAUACGGAGGGUGCAAGCGUUAAUCGGAAUUACUGGGCGUAAAGCGCACGCAGGCGGUCUGUCAAGUCGGAUGUGAAAUCCCCGGGCUCAACCUGGGAACUGCAUUCGAAACUGGCAGGCUUGAGUCUUGU
rnacentral:ncRNA from 1 species